AUGAACGCUGGCGGCGUGCCUAACACAUUCAAGUCGAGCGGCAGCGAGGGGUGCUUGCACCCUGUCGGCGAGCGGCGGACGGCUGAGUAGCGCGUGGGAACGUGCCCCAAAGUGAGGAAUAACUGCCCGAAAGGGUAGCUAAUACCGCAUAUUAUCUUCGGAUCAAAGGAUUUAUCCGCUUUGGGAGCGGCUCGCGUCGGAUUAGGUAGUUGGUGAGGUAAUGGCUCACCAAGCCGACGAUCCGUAGCUGGUCUGAGAGGAUGACCAGCCAGACUGGAACUGAGACACGGUCCAGACUCCUACGGGAGGCAGCAGUGAGGAAUCUUCCACAAUGGGCGAAAGCCUGAUGGAGCAACGCCGCGUGCAGGACGAAGGCCUUCGGGUUGUAAACUGCUUUUAUAAGUGAGGAAUAUGACGGUAACUUAUGAAUAAGGAUCGGCUAACUACGUG
rnacentral:rRNA from 1 species